rnacentral:rRNA from 1 species
ACGGGAGGCAGCAGUGGGGAAUAUUGGACAAUGGGCGGAAGCCUGAUCCAGCAACGCCGCGUGAGGGAUGACGGCCUUCGGGUUGUAAACCUCUUUCAGCACAGACGAAGCGCAAGUGACGGUAUGUGCAGAAGAAGGACCGGCCAACUACGUGCCAGCAGCCGCGGUAAUACGUAGGGUCCGAGCGUUGUCCGGAAUUAUUGGGCGUAAAGGGCUCGUAGGCGGUCUGUCGCGUCGGGAGUGAAAACCAGGUGCUUAACACCUGGCCUGCUUUCGAUACGGGCAGACUAGAGGUACUCAGGGGAGAAUGGAAUUCCUGGUGUAGCGGUGAAAUGCGCAGAUAUCAGGAGGAACACCGGUGGCGAAGGCGGUUCUCUGGGAGUAUCCUGACGCUGAGGAGCGAAAGUGUGGGGAGCGAACAGGAUUAGAUACCCUGGUA